rnacentral:rRNA from 1 species
GGGCGCAGCCUGACCGAGCGACGCCGCGUGUGCGAUGAAGGCCUUCGGGUUGUAAAGCACUGUCGAGGGGGAGGAAAGCCCGCAAGGGUCUGACCUAUCCCUGGAGGAAGCACGGGCUAAGUUCGUGCCAGCAGCCGCGGUAAGACGAACCGUGCGAACGUUGUUCGGAUUCACUGGGCUUAAAGGGCGCGUAGGCGGGGGGUCAAGUCCGAGGUGAAAUCUUUCGGCUCAACCGGAAAAGUGCCUUGGAUACGGACUCCCUCGAGGGGGGUAGGGGCAUGUGGAACUUCCGGUGGAACGGUGAAAUGCGUAGAUAUCGGAAGGAACGCCGGUGGCGAAAGCGACGUGCUGGACCCCUUCUGACGCUGAGGCGCGAAAGCCAGGGGAGCAAACGGGAUUAGAUACCCCGGUAGUCCUGGCCCUAAACGAUGGGUACUAGGUAGUGGACUUGACAUGGGUUCACUGCCGAAGCAAAAGUGUUAAGUACCCCGCCUGGGGAGUAUGGUCGCAAGGCUGAAACUCAAAGGAAUUGACGGGGGC